rnacentral:lncRNA from 10 species
UAACUAAAAAAAAUUCCUUUCUCAUCUGUACUUUAGGAGAUUGCAGAAUCUUGUGGCGAGGGUAUUAAAACUGACCAUUCAAAGUCAUAGCCCAUUUCUUGGUACUUGCAUUUCUCUCUGUGUAAAAUUGGUACUUCAUAGCCUUCUGAUCCUGUAUUUCUGAUACUUAUUGAUCAAUUAUGAUUGAAAGCCAGGUUGUUUAACGCUCUGUCAGUCUUCAAAUGAACUUUUAUUUAUUAAACUGUUUAUUCCUUCUGAUUUAAAUAAAUUUCAUUUCCCAAAGAUGAGUAGGUAUGAAAAAUAAUACUCAGAAGAGAUUGUUCUUGUGGGGAGAACUGCUUCUACAGGAUCUAGCUUUGAUUUUGUAUCUUUCAAUCUUUUUAAAAUCAACUUUAACGAAUUUAAACCUAUUUUAAGUGUACAAGUAAUAAGUUUGACAAUUGUAUGUGACUUCUACCACAAUAAAAUAUAGAACAUUUUUAUCAUUCUAUAA